GGAGAGGUGGCCGAGUGGUUGAAGGCGCACGCUUGGAAAGCGUGUGUACAGGCAACUGUACCGCAGGUUCGAAUCCUGUUCUCUCCGCCA
rnacentral:tRNA from 1 species